GACGAACGCUGGCGGCGUGCUUAACACAUGCAAGUCGAGCGGUAAGGCUCCUUCGGGAGUACACGAGCUGCGAACGGGUGAGUAACACGUGAGCAAUCUGCCCUUCUCAUCGGAAUAACCAUUGGAAACGAUGGCUAAUGCCGAAUACGACUUCCUUUCGCAUGUCAGGAAGUGGAAAGCUCCGGCGGAGAAGGAUGAGCUCGCGGCCUAUCAGCUUGUUGGGGAGGUAAUGGCUCACCAAGGCGACGACGGGUAGCCGGCCUGAGAGGGUGACCGGCCACACUGGGACUGAGACACGGCCCAGACUCCUACGGGAGGCAACAGUGGGGAAUAUUGGACAAGGGGCGAAAGCCUGAUCCAGCAACGCCGCGUGAGGGAUGACGGCCUUCGGGUUGUAAACCUCUUUCAGCAGGGACGAAGCGAAAGUGACGGUACCUGCAGAAGAAGGACCGGCCAACUACGUGCCAGCCGCCGCCGUAA
rnacentral:rRNA from 1 species